rnacentral:rRNA from 1 species
CACGUUAAGUCAAUGUCACCUGUACCCGAAACCGACACAGGUAGGGAGGUUGAGAAUACCAAGGGGCGCGAGAUAACUCUCUCUAAGGAACUCGGCAAAAUGGCCCCGUAACUUCGGGAGAAGGGGUGCCCACCUAAGACGUGGGUCGCAGUGAAGAGAUCCAGGCGACUGUUUACCAAAAACACAGGUCUCCGCUAAGUCAAAUGACGACGUAUGGGGGCUGACGCCUGCCCAGUGCCGGAAGGUUAAGGAAGUUGGUCAGGGAGCAAUCCUAAAGCUGACGACUGAAGCCCCGGUGAACGGCGGCCGUAACUAUAACGGUCCUAAGGUAGCGAAAUUCCUUGUCGGGUAAGUUCCGACCCGCACGAAAGGCGUAACGAUCUGGAUGGUGUCUCAGAGAGAGACUCGGCGAAAUAGGAAUGUCUGUGAAGAUACGGACUGCCUGCACCUGGACAGAAAGACCCUAUGAAGCUUUACUGUAGCCUGUAAUUGAAUCCGGGCUGAGCUUGCGCAGGAUAGGUGGGAGGCGUUGAUAUUGUCCUUGUGGGGGCAAAGGAGCCAACGGUGAGAUACCACUCUGGCGCAGCUAGGAUUCUAACUUGGAGCCGUUAGCCGGCACAAGAACCGUUGCAGGUGGGCAGUUUGACUGGGGCGGUCGCCUCCUAAAUGGUAACGGAGGCGCGCAAAGGUUCCCUCAGCACGCUUGGAAACCGUGCAUAGAGUGUAAAGGCAAAAGGGAGCUUGACUGCAAGAGUCACAACUCAAGCAGGGACGAAAGUCGGCCUUAGUGAUCCGACGGCACUGAGUGGAAGGGCCGUCGCUCAACGGAUAAAAGUUACUCUAGGAUAACAGGCUGAUCUCCCCCAAGAGUUCACAUCGACGGGGAGGUUUGGCACCUCGAUGUCGGCUCAUCGCAACCUGGGGCGGAGGUACGUCCCAAGGGUUGGGCUGUUCGCCCAUUAAAGCGGUACGUGAGCUGGGUUCAGAACGUCGUGAGACAGUUCGGUCCAUAUCCGGUGCAGGCGUAAGAGCAUUGAGAGGAGCCCUCCUUAGUACGAGAGGACCGGGAGGGACGCACCGCUGGUGUACCAGUUAUCGUGCCAACGGUAAACGCUGGGUAGCCAAGUGCGGCGCGGAUAACCGCUGAAAGCAUCUAAGUGGGAAGCCCACCUCAAGAUGAGUGCUCUCAUGGAAUAAUCCAGUAAGGUCACAGGAAGAUUACCUGUUAAUAGGCGCAAGGUGGAAGUUCAGUAAUGAAUGUAGCCGAAGCGUACUAAUAGACCGAGGGCUUGAC